rnacentral:rRNA from 1 species
UACGGAGGGUGCGAGCGUUAAUCGGAAUUACUGGGCGUAAAGCGCACGCAGGCGGUUUGUUAAGCUAGAUGUGAAAGCCCCGGGCUCAACCUGGGAUGGUCAUUUAGAACUGGCAGACUAGAGUCUUGGAGAGGGGAGUGGAAUUCCAGGUGUAGCGGUGAAAUGCGUAGAUAUCUGGAGGAACAUCAGUGGCGAAGGCGACUCCCUGGCCCAAGACUGACGCUCAUGCGCGAAAGUGUGGGUAGCGAACAGG